rnacentral:rRNA from 1 species
AACGAACGCUGGCGGCAGGCUUAACACAUGCAAGUCGAGCGAAGACUUCGGUCUUAGCGGCGGACGGGUGAGUAACGCGUGGGAACGUGCCUUUCACUACGGAAUAGUCCCGGGAAACUGGGUUUAAUACCGUAUACGCCCUUCGGGGAAAGAAUUUCGGUGAGAGAUCGGCCCGCGUCUGAUUAGGUAGUUGGUGGGGUAAUGGCCUACCAAGCCGACGAUCAGUAGCUGGUUUGAGAGGAUGAUCAGCCACACUGGGACUGAGACACGGCCCAGACUCCUACGGGAGGCAGCAGUGAGGAAUCUUGGACAAUGGGGGCAACCCUGAUCCAGCCAUGCCGCGUGAACGAUGAAGGCCUUAGGGUUGUAAAGCUCUUUCGCCAGGGAUGAUAAUGACGUACGGUAA